UUCACAUCGAGGUUGUUUUUUUCCCUUCCGUUUCAUUUCUUCCACUUUUUUUUUUUGGUGGUUGUUCUGCAUUUGUUGUCUUGUUUUUCAUUUUCAUCUCUCUCAGUUUUCUUCUUCUCCCUUUCGUUUUUGCAUUUCCGUUAGCACGGCUUCCCUUCUCUCAUCUUAUUUUUCUCUUCUUGUGUUUAUUUUGUUUAUUUUUUUUAAGUUUAGAUAUAUAUUGUUGUUUAUGGUUUUUUGCGUUUCUUCCUUGCUUUUUCUCCGUUUAGAUCUAUAGAUCUAUAUUGUUUGUAGUUGUUUAUAUACAUGGAGAUUUCUUGCGUGCGAGUUCAUUUCAUUUUCAUAUCUGUACAAUUAUUUUUUUCCUUGCAUUUCUUCUAUUUUUUUCUUAUUGUUUGGUGUUUGAUGUAUAUUAGUUUUAGAUCUAAAAAUUUUUCUUGCGUUCCAACUUUGCAAUUUUCAGAUCUGUAUAAUAAAACUUUUUUUUUCGAGAUCUGUGUUUCUAGGGUUUUUUCAUUUCAUUUGUGUUUGGUUUUUCUUUGUUUUUUUAUUUUUGUUUUGUUGUUAUUUUUCAGAUCUGUGUAAUGAAAAAAAAGGUUUUUUUUUUUCCAGAUCUGUAUUUCUACGGUUUUUUCAUUUCACAUCGAGGUUGUUUUUUUCCCUUCCGUUUCAUUUCUUCCACUUUUUUUUAGUGGUUGUUUUGCGUUUGUUGUCUUGUUUUUCAUUUUCAUCUCUCUCAGUUUUCUUCUUCUCCCUUUCGUUUUUGCAUUUCCGUUAGCACGGCUUCCCUUCUCUCUUCUUAGUUUUCUCUUCUUGUAUUUAUUUUGUUUAUUUUUUUUUAGUUUAGAUAUAUAUUGUUGUUUAUGGUUUUUUGCAUUUCUUCCUUGCGUUUUCUCCGUUUAGAUCUAUAGAUCUAUAUUGUUUGUAGUUGUUUAUAUACAUAGAGAUUUCUUGCAUGCGAAUUCAUUUCAUUUUUAUAUCUGUACAUUUUUUUUUACUUGCGUUUCUUCUAUUUUUUUUUCUUGUUGUUUGGUGUUUGAUGUAUAUUAGUUUUAUACCUUUCAGAUUUGUAGGUUUUUUUUUUUUUUUUUUUUUUUUUUCUGCAUUUGUUGUCUUGUUUUUCAUAUCUGUCUUGCGAUUGAUAUAUUAGGUCUGUAUUUUUGGGAUCAGUAUUCGCAUGCUUUUUCUAUUUUCCAUUAAACUUUUUUUACUCUUCCGUUGCAUUUCUUGUGAUCUGUUUAGAUUAUCCGAACUCGAUUUGCUUAUAGCAUUUGAUGUCUUUGUAGAUGAUGGGUUUUUAAAUAAUAAUUGUUGAUGGGUUUGUUUAUCUGUUUUGUAAUCUUGAUGGAGGUGUUCUAAUUUCAUAUAUUUGUAAUGCUUUCCCUCUUGUGUAAUCUUACAUGAACUAUUUCUUGCUUAUAAUCAAGUUUUUUUUUUUUUUUUGGGUUUGAUUUGUUCUACUCUUUCGUUUCUUGUUUUUCAAAUUUUGAUUUAUAUGACUUUUGUACUUUUCAGAUCUAUUAAACAAAAAAUUCCACUUGGGAUUUGUUUUCCUAUACGUUUCUCCCCCACCAACGUAUCUUUACUUAGUAGAUGCGACCAAAUUAGAAGAUGAAUUUGUAUGAAGAGUUUGAUUUUUUUGUUGGCUUUACCUUCUGUAUUUUCAGAUGUAUAUGCAUAUCAUCUAAUUAGUUACUGUAACAAAUUUAUUCAUAGAAUACAAUUCAUUCUUACAGUACUAAGAGAGGGAAUAAGAACAUACCUAGAACUGCUGAGAUUCA